AGUGCUGUGGCUUAAUGGGUAAAGCCCCUGCCUGCAGUGCAGGCAUCCCACACGGGCACCUGUUUGAGUCCCAGCUGCUCUA
rnacentral:tRNA from 1 species